rnacentral:tRNA from 1 species
GCAUCCGUAGCUCAGCUGGAUAGAGUACUCGGCUACGAACCGAGCGGUCGGAGGUUCGAAUCCUCCUGAGUGCACCA